CAGUAGCGUAUACUAAAGUUGUUGCAGUUAAAAGCUCGUAGUUGGAUUUCUGUGAGAAUUGGAGGGCCCGUGACCCUUCAUAGGGUUCACGUGGAACACCUCAUCAGUUCUCACAUCCUGUCGUAAACUGCUCUGGUCUUAAUUGACUGGGGUUUUCAGGGAGCGACUCAUUUACUUUGAGAAAAAUAGAGUGUUCAAAGCAGGCAUAUGCCUUGAAUAAAUUAGCAUGGAAUAAUAAUAUAGGACUUUGGUUCUAUUUUGUUGGUUGUUCGAGGACCGAAGUAAUGAUUGAGAGGGAUGGUUGGGGGGCAUUAGUAUUCUAAAGCGAGAGGUGAAAUUCUUGGACCUUUGGAAGACUAACUACUGCGAAAGCAUUUGCCAAGGACAUUCCUUUAAUCAAGAACGAAAGUUGGGGGAUCGAAGACGAUCAGAU
rnacentral:rRNA from 1 species